AUUGAACGCUGGCGGCAUGCCUUACACAUGCAAGUCGAACGGCAGCACGGGUGCUUGCACCUGGUGGCGAGUGGCGAACGGGUGAGUAAUACAUCGGAACGUACCUUAUCGUGGGGGAUAACGCAGCGAAAGCUGUGCUAAUACCGCAUACGCCCUGAGGGGGAAAGCGGGGGAUCGCAAGACCUCGCGCGAUUAGAGCGGCCGAUGCCUGAUUAGCUAGUUGGUGGGGUAAAAGCCCACCAAGGCGACGAUCAGUAGCGGGUCUGAGAGGACGAUCAGCAACACUGGGACGGAGAAACGGCCCAGACUCCUACGGGAGGCAGCAGUGGGGAAUUUUGGGAAGUGGGGGAAACCCUGAUCCAGCAAUGCGGCGUGAGUGAAGAAGGCCUUCGGGUUGUAAAGCUCUUUUGUCAGGGAAGAAACACCGGCUCUAACACAGUCCGGGAAUGACGGUACCUGAAGAAUAAGCACCGGCUAACUACGUGCCAGCCGCCGCCGUAA
rnacentral:rRNA from 1 species